rnacentral:rRNA from 1 species
UACGUAGGGGACAAGCGUUGUCCGGAUUUAUUGGGCGUAAAGAGCGUGUAGGCGGUCAGGUAGGUCCGUUGUGAAAACUCGAGGCUCAACCUCGGGACGCCGAUGGAAACCAUCUGACUAGAGUCCGGAAGAGGAGAGUGGAAUUCCUGGUGUAGCGGUGAAAUGCGCAGAUAUCAGGAAGAACACCCGUGGCUAAGGCGGCUCUCUAGUACGGUACUGACGCUGAGACGCGAAAGCGUGGGGAGCGAACAGG